rnacentral:lncRNA from 1 species
GAAGGGUUCUCAACUUUGGGGUAGACGUAUCUCCUGUGGUAGACUACUGGAGAGGAAUUCUGUGGAUACGUGACAGGUAAUACAAUAGUCACUCUUGCUAGUUUUCUAUAGAUCGCGUCGUUUCUCACGCGUACGAAACAGGUACCGUCAUCACAAGCACGACUGUUAACACGCAGAUAUCAAAAGAUUUCCUUCUCUCGUGUGUCAUACUUUGAAGGUUUCGAGCAUGGAGAAUUGUUAAAUCAAGAGCAGGUACCGUCAUCACAAAUAAGACAUCAGAAAAUUUCCUUCUCUCGUGUGCCAUGCCUUGAAAGGUGGUGAAGUAGAAGUGGCUGGACACUGGAGUAUGGAAGAAUCAUCUAAAAUUUUUAAGUCUCCUCUCAGGGAAAUCAGUCGGUCGGGAAAAGCUUCUCUCAGGAAUCCCAUUGAAAUGCGUGCAAUGUGGGCUGUGGCCCCAUCUUGCUGGAACCACACGUUUCCAUUAUCCAGGUCCAUAUUAAUGAGA